GGGUUGUGAGGUUAAGCGACUAAGCGUACACGGUGGAUGCCCUGGCAGUCAGAGGCGAUGAAGGACGUGCUAAUCUGCGAUAAGCGCCGGUAAGGUGAUAUGAACCGUUAUAACCGGCGAUUUCCGAAUGGGGAAACCCAGUGUGACUCGUCACACUAUCAUUAACUGAAUCCAUAGGUUAAUGAGGCGAACCGGGGGAACUGAAACAUCUAAGUACCCCGAGGAAAAGAAAUCAACCGAGAUUCCCCCAGUAGCGGCGAGCGAACGGGGAGGAGCCCAGAGCCUGAAUCAGCAUGUGUGUUAGUGGAAGCGUCUGGAAAGGCGCGCGAUACAGGGUGACAGCCCCGUACACAAAAGCGCAUGUGCUGUGAGCUCGAUGAGUAGGGCGGGACACGUGGUAUCCUGUCUGAAUAUGGGGGGACCAUCCUCCAAGGCUAAAUACUCCUGACUGACCGAUAGUGAACCAGUACCGUGAGGGAAAGGCGAAAAGAACCCCGGCGAGGGGAGUGAAAAAGAACCUGAAACCGUGUACGUACAAGCAGUGGGAGCCCCACCACCAAAGCAUUCUCUGGUGUUGAAGGCCCUGCAAAGCAGCAUCGCGGUGGCGGAGCGUCGUUUGCGACGCCCAACACACAAAACAAGCGGUGAGUGCUUUGGGGUGGGGUGACUGCGUACCUUUUGUAUAAUGGGUCAGCGACUUAUAUUCUGUAGCAAGGUUAACCGAAUAGGGGAGCCGGAGGGAAACCGAGUCUUAACCGGGCGUUAAGUUGCAGGGUAUAGACCCGAAACCCGGUGAUCUAGCCAUGGGCAGGUUGAAGGUUGGGUAAC
rnacentral:rRNA from 1 species